GUGCACCAGGCGCGAAACCUUCGCAAUGCGGGAAACCGCGACGAGGGGACUCCCAGUGCCUACGUUCAGCGUAGGCUGUUCCCGAGCCUAGAAAGCUCGGGGAGUAAGGGCUGGGUAAGACGGGUGCCAGCCGCCGCGGUAAUACCCGCAGCCCGAGUGGUGGCCACUAUUAUUGGGCCUAAAGCGUCCGUAGCCGGCCCGGUAAAUGCCUGGGUAAAUCGUGAGGCCUAACCUCACGAAUUCCGGGUAGACUGCCGGGCUAGGGACCGGAGGAGGGAGAGGGUACUCCAGGGGUAGGGGUGAAAUCCUGUAAUCCCUGGAGGACCACCGGUGGCGAAGGCGCUCUCCUAGGACGGGUCCGACGGUGAGGGACGAAAGCCAGGGGAGCGAACCGGAUUAGAUACCCCGGUAGU
rnacentral:rRNA from 1 species